rnacentral:rRNA from 1 species
AUUGAACGCUGGCGGCGGGCCUAACACAUGCAAGUCGAACGAUUGGCGGACGGGUGAGUAAUGUCUGGGAAACUGCCUGAUGGAGGGGGAUAACUACUGGAAACAGUAGCUAAUACGGCAUACCAUCAGAUUUGCCCAGAUGGGAUUAGCUAGUGGGGGGGGGAACGGCGCAACAAGGCGACGAGCCCUAGCUGGUAUGUGAGGAUGACCAGCAAACCUGGAACUGAGCCACGGUCCAGACUCCUACGGGAGGCAGCAGUGGGGAAUAUUGCAAAAUGGGCGCAAGCCGGAUGCAGCCAUGCCGCGUGUAUGAAUAAGGCCUUCGGGUUGUAAAGUACUUUCAGCGGGGAGGCGUUACCCGCAGAAGAAGCACCGGCUAACUCCGUGCCAGCCGCCGCGGUAAUUC